UACAGUACAUUGUAUUGUUAUUUCUUCUGAGGCAUUUACAUUUAAAUAUAUGUGAAGAAAGGGAGGAACAUGUAACUUGUCAGAAAUGUAAGACAACAUUGUAAAAUGCAGAGCAGUGCAGCAGAGUUUCUGGGUGCCAUCUUCAGCCAUUCGUAUUCUUUCGGGUCUCUUUGCCAACAUGAAGCCUGCAGGAUCAUGUGCAGUUGGGCCUAGUAAGAAAUUGGCUUCAACUGUGCGUGCUCCUGUCAGUGUUGAGAUUUGAAGAGAAUGCGAACAGGCAGAAGAUGGUGCUCAAAUAUGGCAGCCCCCUCAUAGAGGAACAUGGGGGUAUGAAAGGACUCUAUGUGGAAGAAACAGGACAAACACUGCACCAUCGGAUGAACUCCCACAGGUUUAACAUCAAGCAUGGCAACACAGAUGCCCCAGCGGAAGCACACUUCUGCAGCAAUACAUCAUCAAAGAUCUUCAGGUCACAGUUUUAAAGGGCAACUUCAAGACACAUAUGACACCUACAAAAAAACAGCUAAGGGCAAUUUACAUCUUAAAAAACACUUUCCUUAAGUUGACUUCACCUCACAACAAGGUGCUGACUGUACUAGUGUUUGCUUCCUUGACCAAAGCUAAUGUGCUCAUCAUUGAGGGCUUAUCAAUAUCUGGGCUGAAAUAUUCUUUAUCUUUACAGGUCACAAUUCCUAUUUUUAGUUUAUUUGUUAAAGUCUGGUAACGAAGUGUGAAGUGGAUAAGUUCUGGUUCCAAAUGUUUUCCCACCCAGUGAAACACUUACCUGUACCUUAACGUUUUUCCUGUCCAACUCCUAAUUGUGCACUCUUGUGUUAACCUUAACCCAUUCUGUCUUUGUCUAGUUCAAACUAUGUGACCUGACUGAAUCCAGACCCUUGAACUAUUUACAACCCACCCUAAUUAUUUUUAUUAUCUCUACAAGUUAUCUGUCUUAUCUGUAACUUUCUAAUUUAUUGCCCAUAAACCCUUUUUCAGUGAUCUAACAGUAUAUGUAAUGUGCCUUUCCAGCUUUCAUUUGUAUUUUGCCUAAUGAAGGGGCCUGUGUGCUCCAAAAGUUGCAAUUGUUACUUAUAAAAAGUAUCAUCAAACGUUACAUUUUA